GACGAACGCUGGCGGCGUGCUUAACACAUGCAAGUCGAACGGAAAGGCCCUGCUUUUGUGGGGUGCUCGAGUGGCGAACGGGUGAGUAACACGUGAGUAACCUGCCCUUGACUUUGGGAUAACUUCAGGAAACUGGGGCUAAUACCGGAUAGGAGCUCCUGCUGCAUGGUGGGGGUUGGAAAGUUUCGGCGGUUGGGGAUGGACUCGCGGCUUAUCAGCUUGUUGGUGGGGUAGUGGCUUACCAAGGCUUUGACGGGUAGCCGGCCUGAGAGGGUGACCGGCCACAUUGGGACUGAGAUACGGCCCAGACUCCUACGGGAGGCAGAAGUGGGGAAUAUUGCACAAUGGGCGGAAGCCUGACGCAGCAACGCCGCGUGCGGGAUGACGGCCUUCGGGUUGUAAACCGCUUUCGCCUGUGACGAAGCGUGAGUGACGGUAAUGGGUAAAGAAGCACCGGCUAACUACGUG
rnacentral:rRNA from 1 species